rnacentral:scRNA from 1 species
GGGGUUGGGGAUUUAGCUCAGUUAGUAGAGCACUUGCUUAGCAAGCACAAGGCCCUGGGUUCGGUCCCUAGCUCCGGAAAAAAAAAAAAAGCAAAAAAUUU